UACGUAGGGUGCAAGCGUUGUCCGGAAUUAUUGGGCGUAAAGAGCUCGUAGGCGGUUUGUCGCGUCUGCUGUGAAAACUCGGGGCUUAACCCCGGGCCUGCAGUGGGUACGGGCAGACUAGAGUGCGGUAGGGGAGACUGGAAUUCCUGGUGUAGCGGUGAAAUGCGUAGAUAUCAGGAGGAACACCGGUGGCGAAGGCGGCUACCUGGACAGAGUCUGACGCUGAGGCACGAAAGCUAGGGGAGCAAACAGG
rnacentral:rRNA from 1 species